CACGUAGGGGCCAAGCGUUGUCCGGAUUUAUUGGGCGUAAAGAGCUCGUAGGCGGCUCGGUAAGUCAGGUGUGAAACCUCCAGGCUCAACCUGGAGACGCCACCUGAUACUGCUGUGGCUAGAGUCCGGUAGGGGAGCGUGGAAUUCCUGGUGUAGCGGUGAAAUGCGCAGAUAUCAGGAGGAACACCAGCGGCGAAGGCGGCGCUCUGGGCCGGAACUGACGCUGAGGAGCGAAAGCGUGGGGAGCGAACAGG
rnacentral:rRNA from 1 species